rnacentral:rRNA from 1 species
UACGUAGGGGGCAAGCGUUGUCCGGAUUUAUUGGGCGUAAAGAGCGUGUAGGCGGCCAGAUAGGUCCGUUGUGAAAACUCGAGGCUCAACCUCGAGACGCCGAUGGAAACCAUUUGGCUAGAGUCCAGAAGAGGCGAGUGGAAUUCCCGGUGUAGCGGUGAAAUGCGCAGAUAUCGGGAGGAACACCUAUGGCGAAGGCAGCUCGCUGGGACGUUACUGACGCUGAGACGCGAAAGCGUGGGGAGCAAACAGG